GCGGUCCGCCAUCUGGUGAGUACUGCCAUUACGUCGGGUCUCUUCUUCUCGUGUCUUCACUGGGUGCAUUAGGUAUUACCUUGAAAAAAUCAGAAUGUUUAAAGCGGACAAUAGGACAGAUGGUUCCAUUCUGUUGGUUGGGACCACCGUA
rnacentral:rRNA from 1 species